GCUCACCCUCUUUAUAUUAAUGAUUCUGAAUUUCGCGCAGGUCCCGAUCUUCCUUCUUCAAUGGCGACUGAUUUCUCAGAAGAACUGAGCGAAAACAAUCUUCCAGGACCGAAAUCGGCCUUGCCGUUGAAUUUAGGAUCUGCAGCCGCUGGUAAUGGCCAAGUAGAUCAACACCAAAAUCGCCGUUCAUUUGCUGUCGGGCCUUCCCAUUCCGUGACUCCCACCGCUACAAAGGAAGGCACUGAAUCUCAACGUGCCGCUUUGGGGAGAACAUCGGAGCAUCAUGCUUCUGUUUUUGAUAUCUUCAAGAAGAUCCGUCGUGCGGAGCGGUUCGGGAUUCCUGUACGUUUGUCGGAGGCAGAAAAGCGAUUCUCUCGAGCUGAGAGGUUCGGCAUUGAUUCAGUAUGUGGGCCGGAUGAAAUGUUCAAAGCAGAAGAGCUGAAGAGAAAGGCCAGAGCGGAGAGAUUUGAGCUCUUAACUUUGUCAAUGGCUACUGACGAGGAGGCAAAGAAGAAAGCGCGGCUUGUCAGAUUUUCCCCAUUUUUGUAGAGUUCCCUUUUGGUUGAACAAGAAAGUUAUAUCAACAAGUCUUAUGCACAGCCAAGCUCGUUUAACCAAUUGGACAAGCCGAGCUAUUAACCAUUUAGUUCAUCGUAUCCUGAACCCUUUCAAUUUAAGGAUGCGGCCAUUACUUUGUAUGAAAUGUAUAACAUUGAACUCCAUUAGAUGUAGGUGUUUUAAAUUUCUAGAACUGCAUCCUCUUUAUCCAAUUGGAGGGUAUACUUCCAUCCAGUUUUCUACAUGCCCAUUUUAAAAAAAAAAUUAUCUACACUAUUAUUAUCAUCGUCCUUCCAGUGCUCAAGCAAGCCCUUUGAGUUCGAUCCAAGUAAAUGGCAAGGGGGAUGUACCUGUUGGUUCCUUUUUAGUAGGCUAAGCAACUUGUUUGGUGAAGCCUUUAAAUGGUCACUAGAUGUUGGUUCCUUUUUAGUAGGCUAAGCAACUGUUAUCUGGAAGUGCCACGAUUUUAUGGAAGGCAGAACAAUGGCCUAAAAGAAGUUUUUCCAUCUGCGUUGGUGGUCAACAUACUUCUGACUUUUAUCUUAUAGACCUUAUUCAACUUAAUUAACAUGGGAGAAGUUAUCUAAUUGAUUCGUUCAUCUUUGCAGGUUCAAUGUAAUUUUCAUGGGUGUUCCUGAUUUGCUUUCUCCACAUUUUGCACACUGAAAUCCCGUUUCAUAGCAGCAUUUCUGUCACCCAGGGGUAUUUGGUCUUUAACUAUAAUUGAGAAUAACAGAUGAAGCUCUGAAGGGGUUUUGGAUUUGCUUCAAGAACCUUGUGACUGCUUUUACUCUGUUUGAUUUACCCAUAUUUAUCUCAAUUAUCUCACUUAUAAGGGAUCUAGAAAAAUCUUCAGUAGCCAGUCCGAUAGUGUAACGAAUGGCUUGCUCACCUUUGUGAAGGUUUGACUUUCACUAUGUGUUUCAGGCUUGCUCUUCUUGAGGAACCGAAAUGAAGUUAUGCUUAUUGGUGGAGUGUAUGAUAUUACUGGUCAGGUUCAUACCCCCCCCCCCCCC